rnacentral:rRNA from 1 species
UACAGGGGGGGCAAGCGUUGUUCGGAAUUACUGGGCGUAAAGGGCUCGUAGGUGGCCAACUAAGUCGGACGUGAAAUCCCUCAGCUUAACUGGGGAACUGCGUCCGAUACUGGAUGGCUUGAGUUUGGGAGAGGGAUGCGGAAUUCCAGGUGUAGCGGUGAAAUGCGUAGAUAUCUGGAGGAACACCGGUGGCGAAGGCGGCAUCCUGGACCAACACUGACACUGAGGAGCGAAAGCCAGGGGAGCGAACGGG